rnacentral:rRNA from 1 species
CACGUAGGGGGCGAGCGUUGUCCGGAUUUAUUGGGCGUAAAGAGCUCGUAGGCGGCUCGGUAAGUCAGGUGUGAAAACUCUAGGCUCAACCUAGAGACGCCACCUGAUACUGCCGUGGCUAGAGUCCGGUAGGGGAGCAUGGAAUUCCUGGUGUAGCGGUGAAAUGCGCAGAUAUCAGGAAGAACACCCGUGGCGAAGGCGGCUCUCUGGGACAGUACUGACGCUGAGACGCGAAAGCGUGGGGAGCGAACAGG